rnacentral:rRNA from 1 species
AGCGAACGUUUGCGGCGGGCUUAACACAUGCAAGUCGAACGGGCUGUUCCUUCGGGGGCAGUCAGUGGCGCACGGGUGCGUAACACGUAGGUAAUCAACCCUCUGGUUGGGGAUAACACUUCGAAAGGAGUGCUAAUACCCGGUAUGGCGCAGCGGUCUUCGGAUCGCGGCGAGAAAGACCCGCAAGGGUUGCCAGAGGACGAGCCUGCGGCCCAUCAGCUAGUUGGCGAGGUAACGGCUCACCAAGGCGAAGACGGGUAGCUGGUCUGAGAGAUGAUCAGCCACACUGGAACUGAGACACGGUCCAGACUCCUACGGGAGGCAGCAGUGGGGAAUAUUGCGCAAUGGGCGAAAGCCUGACGCAGCCACGCCGCGUGAGCGAUGAAGG